GAUGAAGAACGCAGCGAAAUGCGAUACGUAAUGUGAAUUGCAGAAUUCAGUGAAUCAUCGAGUCUUUGAACGCACAUUGCGCCCCCUGGCAUUCCGGGGGGCAUGCCUGUUCGAGCGUCAUUACAACCCUCAAGCUCUGCUUGGUAUUGGGCUCUGCCGGUCCCGGCAGGCCUUAAAAUCAGUGGCGGCGCCACUCGGCUUCAAGCGUAGUAAUUCUUCUCGCUUCGGAGACCCGGGUGCGUGCUAGCCAGCAACCCCCAACUUUCUCAGGUUGACCUCGGACCAGGUAGGGAUACCCGCUGAACUUAAGCAUAUCAAUAAGCGGAGGA
rnacentral:misc_RNA from 1 species